rnacentral:lncRNA from 1 species
ACUAACGGACGUGUAAUUGUCGAAAAGUGGGCAUAGACGUGUAGUAUGCGCUAUGCACUGAGCUACAUCAAGAACAUAAGGUCUGGAUCGCAGCACGAGUCCACCAGGCAGCAGCAACAUAGAGCUGCAAGACUGAAACAGGACCGAGGAAAAUUAUUUAUUUAUCAAAUAUAUAUUUUUUCUAGGGUUGGAAUUCGGAUCUAGAAUUUUUUUUCUGGGGGCACCAAUCAUAUAUUUGAAAUUUAUCUUUGGAUUUUUCUAGCAUUUAUAGUGAUAAAUAAAUAUCAAAUUAAUUUAUAGAAAGGACAUCCACAAUGUUAAAAUAUAAGUAUAAGAUCCAUAAAUAAGCUUUUUCAGACACUUUUAACGUUUUAGAUGGAAUUCUCUACACAUAAUGUGUGACUAUAGAUAAGCUUACCAGCCCUCUAGAAGACCGGAACGUUUCCUGGGAGGAGGAGCUGACAUGUACAUCGGCGGUGGCAUCACCGGAGGUGUUGGUGGAUGCCCGUGUUGAUAAUAACUUGCUCCUGGAACUUGUAUUCAAAAUAAUACUACCGCCUCAGUACUUUCUCAACCGCUAAAUAAAACAAGACUCCCGUAUCAGUAAAAUCUAAAAUACGUACCUUGAUGAGCGGGAUAGGGAUAAGCAUACUUGGGCUCUUCACUGUGUUUACCCAUCUUUUGUGAUUUUGAUUCGAGAUUACACAACCACAACAAGGUUGCACCAGACUUGUAUACAAUUUACAAUUGUGCGCCUUCUAGAGUUAUUGAUUAGUUUCUUUCUUCAAGUAGAAGUAAUAAUUUAUUACUCCCUCUGUCCCAUUUAAUUGUAUACGUUUCUUUUCAACUGCUCGACACGCAUUUCAAUGCUCUUAUAAAACAUAGUUCCGUAAUUUAUUUUUGAGAUUUUCUUUUUCAGAAUAAAAAUAUAACAUCCAAACUUUAAUUCAGAAAAAGAAAAUUUCAAAAAUAAAUUACACAACUACACUCUACAGGAGCAUUAAAGUACGUGCCGCGUCCCCGUCUCCCAAUGUAUACAACUAGGGGGACGGAGGGAGUAUGAAAUAUAACGUUUUCGACAACUGAAAAAUGUAAACGUGGCAGUCAUAUGCAGUACUGCGACCAUGUUAG